rnacentral:rRNA from 1 species
ACCAGACUCCUACGGGAGGCAGCAGUGGGGAAUAUUGGGCAAUGGAGGAAACUCUGACCCAGCAACGCCGCGUGAAGGAUGAAGGUUUUCGGAUUGUAAACUUCUGUCGCGAGGGAUGAAGAAUGACGGUACCUCGUAAGAAAGCCCCGGCAAACUACGUGCCAGCAGCCGCGGUAAUACGUAGGGGGCGAGCGUUAUCCGGAUUUAUUGGGUUUAAAGGGUGCGCAGGCGGGCUGUUAAGCCGGCGGUAAAAAUUCAGGGCUCAACCCUGUCGAGCCGUCGGAACUGGCAGUCUUGAGUGGGCGAGAAGUAUGCGGAAUGCGUGGUGUAGCGGUGAAAUGCAUAGAUAUCACGCAGAACGCCGAUUGCGAAGGCAGCAUACCGGCGCCCAACUGACGCUGAGGCACGAAAGCGUGGGGAUCGAACAGGAUUAGAUACCCUCGUAC